rnacentral:rRNA from 1 species
AUUGAACGCUGGCGGCAGGCUUAACACAUGCAAGUCGAGCGGAGAUGAGGUGCUUGCACCUUAUCUUAGCGGCGGACGGGUGAGUAAUGCUUAGGAAUCUGCCUAUUAGUGGGGGACAACAUUCCGAAAGGAAUGCUAAUACCGCAUACGUCCUACGAGAGAAAGCAGGGGAUCUUCGGACCUUGCGCUAAUAGAUGAGCCUAAGUCGGAUUAGCUAGUUGGUGGGGUAAAGGCCUACCAAGGCGACGAGCUGUAGCGGGUCUGAGAGGAUGAUCCGCCACACUGGGACUGAGACACGGCCCAGACUCCUAAGGGAGGCAGCAGUGGGGAAUAUUGGACAAUGGGGGGAACCCUGAUCCAGCCAUGCCGCGUGUGUGAAGAAGGCCUUAUGGUUGUAAAGCACUUUAAGCGAGGAGGAGGCUACUGAGACUAAUACUCUUGGAUAGUGGACGUUACUCGCAGAAUAAGCACCGGCUAACUCUGUGCCAGCCGCCGCGGUAAUAC